AUGACUGUAGAGUUUUUUUUAUUUUAAAAUAUCUACGAUGAAGAUGUGUCUUAUGAUGAGCAGGAGGGCUCAUUUUAUCACGGUGUCAAGGUAUUUUCUUUCGUGCGCGAACAAUAAGCUAGGUCAGUUACCAUAACAGCUUAUCUAGUUAGCAUAACUAGCCAGUAGAGCGAACAGUUGUUUUUGCAAAUAUUCUUCACCACCGUCACAUAUACGUUUCACCUUGACAUUGGCUGAUGAGGGAAAAAACAUGUAGAAUUAUUUCUAAUCUAAACAAAAUGAGUGCAAGACCCUGCUGCCCUGGGUUGUAAUGGAAAGCGCCCUACGUGUCGAAGUUGCAAUGCAUCAGACCGUACACCUCCUGUCAAGUCUGUGGCAGCUUCUGUGACAUUUGCUGAACACUCGCUCUCGUAGGCUACCCGAAACAGCUUAUCAACUACCGGUAUACGACAUGCACUUUAUUUACUCUGGUUAUACAGCCGACUACUUUUCGUUACAUGUAAUGGUAGGCCUAUAGAAGUUUAGGCUAAUAUAUUCUUUCUCCCUGUAGCGGAUCCACCAGUGCACUGGACCCUGCUGAGAUCAGCUUCAUGAAGAAACGGCAAGAUCCAGACGACGACACCAUAUCUGCUCAUCUCCCUCACCUGUCCACCCGGAUGAAGGAACACACUCUGCAGCUGAACCUAUCUAAAACCAAGCUCCCAGUCCAAAUUGUUUUAGGUUAACCCAGUGUUUCUCAAAGUGGGGCGUAAGCCCCCCUGGGGGAGCGCAAAGGCAUCUCGGGGGGGGGCUUGUGACAUCUGAUUUUGGGUUUUUUCCCCAAGGAAAUGAUUUCCUGUCUCGCCAAUAUGUCAAUAGGUUUAAAGCCCUCACCAACAUUAUUUAUAUUAUUAAUUGUCAUUAAUUUGAAUACCAUAGGAAAUGAACACACAUCUGCAUUCGACUGCAGUCCCUCUUUGUUUAAUUUCACCAGUCAUCACCUUUCCUUUGAUUCUGCGCAGCGAUCGCAAAAUCAGUCUGCGCGAGUACUGCUGUUGCUUGGGGGGGCUCGGAAGCAUUCAGACCCUCUGAAGUGGGGAAUGAGGGAAAAAGUUUGAGAACCACUGGGUUAACCUCUGACAGCAACCUAUGUCUUCACACGUUGGGCUAUAUUAUCCUUGCAACUUGGCUUGGUACAUGUGGCUUGUUGAUUUGCAGUGUAUUGUUGUGACAACCAUCCUGUGAUACCGUGAGAGUAAUUCAUAUUUGAUCCCUUGCUGAUUUUGUUGGUUUGCAUAUGUAUCUGCUGUGUUUCUGCACAGUCCGCCACAGGAGGCUCAAACCCACCACCUCCUAGUCAACGCUCCAGUUCGGGUAUGCACGAUACCGCUGAGCUAAAGGACCAGUCACCUGAGAUGUACGGACAAUACUGUAGAGUAAUUAGUAUAGACUAUAGACUCAAGAUAGACAGACAGAAGAUGUUUGAAGUUGUUGUAUUAGUGUGCACAAUAAAAUAAGCAAGUCAUGC